rnacentral:rRNA from 1 species
GACGAACGCUGGCGGCGUGCUUAACACAUGCAAGUCGAACGAAGAGCGAUGGAAGCUUGCUUCUAUCAAUCUUAGUGGCGAACGGGUGAGUAACGCGUAAUCAACCUGCCCUUCAGAGGGGGACAACAGUUGGAAACGACUGCUAAUACCGCAUACGAUCUAACCUCGGCAUCGAGGAUGGAUGAAAGGUGGCCUCUAUUUAUAAGCUAUCACUGAAGGAGGGGAUUGCGUCUGAUUAGCUAGUUGGAGGGGUAACGGCCCACCAAGGCGAUGAUCAGUAGCCGGUCUGAGAGGAUGAACGGCCACAUUGGGACUGAGACACGGCCCAGACUCCUACGGGAGGCAGCAGUGGGGAAUCUUCCGCAAUGGACGAAAGUCUGACGGAGCAACGCCGUGUGAGUGAUGACGGCCUUCGGGUUGUAAAGCUCUGUUAAUCGGGACGAAAGGCCUUCUUGCGAAUAGUUAGAAGGAUUGACGGUACCGGAAUAGAAAGCCACGGCUAACUACGUG